UACGUAGGGCGCAAGCGUUGUCCGGAUUUAUUGGGCGUAAAGAGCGUGUAGGCGGCCGUACAGGUCAGCUGUGAAAACUCGAGGCUCAACCUCGAGACGUCGGUUGAAACCGUCUGGCUAGAGUCCGGAAGAGGAGAGUGGAAUUCCCGGUGUAGCGGUGAAAUGCGCAGAUAUCGGGAAGAACACCCGUGGCGAAGGCGGCUCUCUGGGACGGUACUGACGCUGAGGUGCGAAAGCGUGGGGAGCAAACAGG
rnacentral:rRNA from 1 species